rnacentral:rRNA from 1 species
UGGGGAAUAUUGCACAAUGGGCGCAAGCCUGAUGCAGCCAUGCCGCGUGUAUGAAGAAGGCCUUCGGGUUGUAAAGUACUUUCAGCGGGGAGGAAGGGAGUAAAGUUAAUACCUUUGCUCAUUGACGUUACCCGCAGAAGAAGCACCGGCUAACUCCGUGCCAGCAGCCGCGGUAAUACGGAGGGUGCAAGCGUUAAUCGGAAUUACUGGGCGUAAAGCGCACGCAGGCGGUUUGUUAAGUCAGAUGUGAAAUCCCCGGGCUCAACCUGGGAACUGCAUCUGAUACUGGCAAGCUUGAGUCUCGGAGAGGGGGGUAGAAUUCCAGGUGGAGCGGUGAAAUGCGUAGAGAUCUGGAGGAAUACCGGUGGCGAAGGCGGCCCCCUGGACGAAGACUGACGCUCAGGUGCGAAAGCGUGGGGAGCAAACAGG